AGGGAAACCAGCUCCUGCAGCAGCUGAUGAAACAGUUUAUUCUGAAGUUAAAUCACAAACAGCUCUGGAUUAAUAACAAGAUCUGCAAAACCAACUGGAUCAGUGACAAAACUGUGUUAAUUCCAUUACAAUUAAAGAGAUCAUUGGA